rnacentral:lncRNA from 1 species
CGACUUUUUGAAGAUCGACUUUUCUCUCCAAGCAAAAGUCGAACACACAUUCCAAGAAAAGUCGAACACUCCAGGAUGGUGGUAACUCGAAGCACUUCCCAGGGAGGAGGAGCAAAUUCUCAGGAGGCGCCAGGGCAACAGCCUGGCAACUCAAAAACUAAAAGGCCAGUGGGUCGACCACCUAAGGCCAAUAAAAACAAAAGGACUCCCACAGGACCUGAGACUGAACCCGAAGGUGAACCCGGGCAAACUCCCCAAGCGUCAGCAGGAGGGGAAAAUCUGAAC